rnacentral:rRNA from 1 species
AACGAACGCUGGCGGCAUGCCUAACACAUGCAAGUCGAACGAGACCUUCGGGUCUAGUGGCGCACGGGUGCGUAACGCGUGGGAACCUGCCCUUAGGUUCGGAAUAACUCCCCGAAAGGGGUGCUAAUACCGGAUAAUGUCUUCGGACCAAAGAUUUAUCGCCUUUGGAUGGGCCCGCGUUGGAUUAGCUAGUUGGUAGGGUAAAAGCCUACCAAGGCGACGAUCCAUAGCUGGUCUGAGAGGAUGAUCAGCCACACUGGGACUGAGACACGGCCCAGACUCCUACGGGAGGCAGCAGUGGGGAAUAUUGGACAAUGGGCGAAAGCCUGAUCCAGCAAGGCCGGGUGAGUGAUGAAGGCCUUAGGGUUGUAAAGCUCUUUUACCCGGGAUGAUAAUGACAGUACCGGGAGAAUAAGCUCCGGCUAACUCCGUG